rnacentral:rRNA from 1 species
AGUGAACGCUGGCGGUAGGCCUAACACAUGCAAGUCGAACGGCCACACAGUAAGAUCUUGCUCUUACGGGUGGCGAGUGGCGGACGGGUGAGGAAUACAUCGGCAUCUUCUUUUUCGUGGGGGAUAACGUAGGGCAACUUCUGCUAAUACCGCAUACGUCCUACGGCUGAAAUCAGGUGUUCUUCGCACUUUUCGCGUUUCUAUUAGCCGAUGUCGGAUUAGCUAGUUGGCUUGGUAAAGGCCCACCAAGGCGACGAUCCGUAGCUGAUCUGAGAGGAUGAUCAGCCACACUGGAACUGAGACACGGUCCAGACUCCUACGGGAGGCAGCAGUAGGGAAUAUUGGACAAUGGGCGAAAGCCUGAUCCAGCCAUACCGCGUGGGUGAAGAAGGCCUUCGGGUUGUAAAGCCCUUUUGUUGGGAAAGAAAAGAAGCAGGAUAAUACCCCGAUGUUCUGACGGUACCCAAAGAAAAAGCACCGGCUAACUACGUG